rnacentral:misc_RNA from 1 species
UAGGCUUGACAUGCAUGGGAGGCUCCUCGUUUCUGAGGAGUUUCCCAUGCAUGUCAAGCCUAGGUAAGGUUCUUCGCGUUGCGUCGAAUUAAACCACAUGCUCCACCGCUUGUGCGGGCCCCCGUCAAUUCCUUUGAGUUUCAGCCUUGCGGCCGUACUCCCCAGGCGGGGUACUUCCUGCGUUAGCGCCGGCACCCAAGGGGUCGCUCCCCCAGGCACCUAGUACCCAUCGUUUACGGCGUGGACUAC